AUUGAACGCUGGCGGCAGGCCUAACACAUGCAAGUCGAACGAGUGGCGGACGGGUGAGUAAUGUCUGGGAAACUGCUUGAUGGAGGGGGAUAACUACUGGAAACGGUAGCUAAUACCGCAUACCAUCAGAUGUGCCCAGAUGGGAUUAGCUAGUUGGUGGGGUGACGGUUCACCAAGGCGACGAUCCCUAGCUGGUCUGAGAGGAUGACCGGCCACACUGGAACGUAUACACGGUCCAGACUCCAAAGGGAGGCAGCAGUGGGGAAUAUGGCACAAUGGGCGCAAGCCUGAAGCAGCCAUGCCGCGUGUAUGAAGAAGGCCUGCGGGUUGUAAAGUACUUUCAGCGGGGAGGCGUUACCCGCAGAAGAAGCACCGGCUAACUACGUGCCAGCAGCCGCGGUAAUUC
rnacentral:rRNA from 1 species